AUUUAUUUAGUAUAUUAGUACAUUUGACUUCCAAUCAAAAAGAUUGAUUAAUCAAAAUAAAUA
rnacentral:tRNA from 1 species